rnacentral:rRNA from 1 species
AGUAACACGUGGGUGACCUGCCCUUAGCUCUGGGAUAAGCCUGGGAAACUGGGUCUAAUACCGGAUAUGACUCCAUGACGCAUGUUAUGGGGUGGAAAGCCUUGUGCGGCUAGGGAUGGGCCCGCGGCCUAUCAGCUUGUUGGUGGGGUGAUGGCCUACCAAGGCGACGACGGGUAGCCGGCCUGAGAGGGCGACCGGCCACACUGGGACUGAGACACGGCCCAG